rnacentral:lncRNA from 10 species
GGGUUUUCUACAUAGACCAUCAUUAUAUUUGAAGGGAGUUUCUUGUAGACAACAUAUACUUAUAUCAUUUUAAAAAAUCCAUUCUGCCAAUGUCUGUUUUUUAGUUGGUAUAUUUAGACCAUUUACAUUUAAUGUAAUUAUCAUAUUGUUAUGGUUUAAGUCUGCCAUUUUAUUUUUAUUUCGGUUCUCUCAUUUAUUUUUUCUUUUUCUUUUCUUCUUCUAGGUUACUUGCACAGGAACUUUUUCUUGUUUUGUUUGGUUUGGUUUGGUUUUGAGAUGGAGUCUCGCUCUGUUGCCCAGGCUGGAGUGCAAUGGUGCCAUCUUGGCUAACUGCAACCUCCGUCUCCCAGAUUCAAGCAAUUCUCCUCUCUCAGCCUCCCAAGUCUGGCUAAUUUUUGUAUUUU